rnacentral:rRNA from 1 species
CAGGCUUAACACAUGCAAGUCGAGGGGCAUCAGGAAUUAAGCUUGCUUUCUUUGCUGGCGACCGGCGCACGGGUGAGUAACACGUAUCCAACCUGCCCUUUACUCGGGGAUAGCCUUUCGAAAGAAAGAUUAAUACCCGAUAGUAUAAUGAUUCCGCAUGGUUUCAUUAUUAAAGGAUUCCGGUAAAGGAUGGGGAUGCGUUCCAUUAGGUUGUUGGUGAGGUAACGGCUCACCAAGCCUUCGAUGGAUAGGGGUUCUGAGAGGAAGGUCCCCCACAUUGGAACUGAGACACGGUCCAAACUCCUACGGGAGGCAGCAGUGAGGAAUAUUGGUCAAUGGGCGCUAGCCUGAACCAGCCAAGUAGCGUGAAGGAUGAAGGCUCUAUGGGUCGUAAACUUCUUUUAUAUAAGAAUAAAGUGCAGUGUGUAUACUGUUUUGUAUGUAUUAUAUGAAUAAGGAUCGGCUAACUCCGUGCCAGCAGCCGCGGUAAUACGGAGGAUCCGAGCGUUAUCCGGAUUUAUUGGGUUUAAAGGGAGCGUAGGUGGACUGGUAAGUCAGUUGUGAAAGUUUGCGGCUCAACCGUAAAAUUGCAGUUGAUACUGUCAGUCUUGAGUACAGUAGAGGUGGGCGGAAUUCGUGGUGUAGCGGUGAAAUGCUUAGAUAUCACGAAGAACUCCGAUUGCGAAGGCAGCUCACUGGACUGCAACUGACACUGAUGCUCGAAAGUGUGGGUAUCAAACAGGAUUAGAUACCCUGGUAGUCCACACAGUAAACGAUGAAUACUCGCUGUUUGCGAUAUACAGUAAGCGGCCAAGCGAAAGCAUUAAGUAUUCCACCUGGGGAGUACGCCGGCAACGGUGAAACUCAAAGGAAUUGACGGGGGCCCGCACAAGCGGAGGAACAUGUGGUUUAAUUCGAUGAUACGCGAGGAACCUUACCCGGGCUUAAAUUGCAGUGGAAUGAUGUGGAAACAUGUCAGUGAGCAAUCACCGCUGUGAAGGUGCUGCAUGGUUGUCGUCAGCUCGUGCCGUGAGGUGUCGGCUUAAGUGCCAUAACGAGCGCAACCCUUAUCUUUAGUUACUAACAGGUUAUGCUGAGGACUCUAGAGAGACUGCCGUCGUAAGAUGUGAGGAAGGUGGGGAUGACGUCAAAUCAGCACGGCCCUUACGUCCGGGGCUACACACGUGUUACAAUGGGGGGUACAGAAGGCAGCUAGCGGGUGACCGUAUGCUAAUCCCAAAAGCCUCUCUCAGUUCGGAUCGAAGUCUGCAACCCGACUUCGUGAAGCUGGAUUCGCUAGUAAUCGCGCAUCAGCCACGGCGCGGUGAAUACGUUCCCGGGCCUUGUACACACCGCCCGUCAAGCCAUGGGAGCCGGGGGUACCUGAAGUACGUAACCGCAAGGAUCGUCCUAGGGUAAAACUGGUGACUGGGGC